ACGCUACAGUGCUACUGGCCCAUAAUCAGGCAACUGCAGAGUCUUAGGGGGUUAUCUAAUGUAGUCUUGGGGUGGCUGGAUAGACUUCCCAAAGAAGGUGAUGCCGAAGCUGAGGUCGGAAAUUACGAAGAUCAGCUAUCAAACUUGGAAAUCAUGUCUUAGAGAUCAAGGAGCCAAGAGAUGAGACAAGCCUGGGUUCCUAGGUGAUAGGGUGUGGCUGUGUCCCCACCCAAAUCUCGUCUUGAAUUGUAGCUCCCAUAAUCCCCACAUGUUGUGGAGGGACCCUGUGGAAGAUGGAGUCUCACUCUGUCACCUAGGCUUGAGUACAGUAUUGCAAUCUCAGCUCACUGCAACCUCCACCUCCUGGGUUCAAGAGAUUCUCCUGCCUCAGCCUCCCGGGUAGCUGGAACUAUAGGUGUGUACCACCACACCUGGCUAAUUUUUGUAUUUUUAGUAGAGAUGGGGUUUUACCAUGUUGACCAGGCUGGUCUCAAACUCCUGACCUCAAGUGAUCUGCCUGUCUUGGCCUCCCAAAGUGCUGGGUUUACAGGUGUCAACCACCUAAGAAGUCAGUUUCAUAGCUCCUGUGAGUAAGAAGAAAUUGUUUUGACAUCAUCCCAAGAAGUAGAGUUACAGAGAAACAUCAUCAGUGGUGUAGAAGAGCUCAGGGAAGCAAGGAGGGCUGCUGUGAAUGACACCAUGAAUUUCUGAAUGUGAUGUCCCUUCAAUUCAUGAGGAAUGAAGCAACGAUAUCUCCUAAAACACCAGGAUUUGCUAAAGAUAAUGAUAGAUUAAUUGUGAACAGCCUGAAGUAUCAAGUAGGUGCACGUUCUAUUCAAGGGAAUUUCUAUCUCUUUCCCUUCUUGGUAAGGGAUGCUCAUCUAGGAUGGCUCCGUGGGUUUUAGAAAGGGCUUGAGCUCAUUCUUCACCAGGACUCUGCCAUGUAAUUUUAGCCACAAGUGUUAAUGGGAAAGGUCAUAGAGUUCAGGACACUAUUCAGUGAAAAUAAAACUGGAGAAGGGCAUGAGGCCAAAAAUAAGGCCCUUUCUAAGUAGUGUUUGGGGACGUGGGCUUCAGCACUUCACGUGCUCAUAAGUCCUCCCCUUGCUGCAGGCCCUUCACAGCCCCUUGCUCAAGCCCUCCCAGGGUAAAAGAGUUUGUCUAGGAAGGCAGAAUUGCCAUUUCCUGACACCAAGCUCAGGAGAAAGUAAUGCACCUCAAAUAGCCUUGUUUGCUCAGUAACUGCUUAUGGGCCUGUUAGUCCUUAGGGCCCUCCUCUGUUUGCAAUUGACACGCUGCAGAAAGCCAGCUGUCGAUAGUAAAGGGACAGUACGUUUUGUUUAGGGGAAACACGUUGAUAGCAAAGGGACAGUAUGUUUUGUUUAGGGGAAAGACUGACGUAAAAUGCUGUUAAUUGCACCCUCUCUGGAAUGUCUCCUUGUCCCGAUGAAGACGGAGAACUGAGGUGGAAGAAGAAAUUGUGCUGUGUGAUAAAAGUUGCAUAUGCUUAUGUCUUCUAUAUGGGGUAGGUAUCAUAGUACCUGAAACACUUUUGGAAUCCACUGGUUAAAAUCAUUGAGGGCAGAGGCGGUCAUAUCUGUCUAAUUUGUAAGAGUAUACUUAUUGCUAAUAAAAAUUGGUAACUUGAAAAA
ensembl:lncRNA CCDC26 CCDC26 long non-coding RNA